AUAGGGGAGCCGCAGGGAAACCGAGUCUUAACCGGGCGUUAAGUUGCAGGGUAUAGACCCGAAACCCGGUGAUCUAGCCAUGGGCAGGUUGAAGGUUGGGUAACACUAACUGGAGGACCGAACCGACUAAUGUUGAAAAAUUAGCGGAUGACCUGUGGCUGGGGGUGAAAGGCCAAUCAAACCGGGAGAUAGCUGGUUCUCCCCGAAAGCUAUUUAGGUAGCGCCUCGUGAAUUCAUCUCCGGGGGUAGAGCACUGUUUCGGCUAGGGGGCCAUCCCGGCUUACCAACCCGAUGCAAACUGCGAAUACCGGAGAAUGUUAUCACGGGAGACACACGGCGGGUGCUAACGUCCGUCGUGAAGAGGGAAACAACCCAGACCGCCAGCUAAGGUCCCAAAGUCAUGGUUAAGUGGGAAACGAUGUGGGAAGGCCCAGACAGCCAGGAUGUUGGCUUAGAAGCAGCCAUCAUUUAAAGAAAGCGUAAUAGCUCACUGGUCGAGUCGGCCUGCGCGGAAGAUGUAACGGGGCUAAACCAUGCACCGAAGCUGCGGCAGCGACGCUGAUGCGUUGUUGGGUAGGGGAGCGUUCUGUAAGCCUGCGAAGGUGGCCUGUGAGGGUUGCUGGAGGUAUCAGAAGUGCGAAUGCUGACAUAAGUAACGAUAAAGCGGGUGAAAAGCCCGCUCGCCGGAAGACCAAGGGUUCCUGUCCAACGUUAAUCGGGGCAGGGUGAGUCGACCCCUAAGGCGAGGCCGAAAGGCGUAGUCGAUGGGAAACGGGUUAAUAUUCCCGUACUUGGUGUUACUGCGAAGGGGGGACGGAGAAGGCUAUGUUGGCCGGGCGACGGUUGUCCCGGUUUAAGCGUGUAGGUGUGUGUUCCAGGUAAAUCCGGUUCACUUUAACACUGAGGCGUGAUGACGAGGCACUACGGUGCUGAAGCAACAAAUGCCCUGCUUCCAGGAAAAGCCUCUAAGCAUCAGGUAACAUCAAAUCGUACCCCAAACCGACACAGGUGGUCAGGUAGAGAAUACCAAGGCGCUUGAGAGAACUCGGGUGAAGGAACUAGGCAAAAUGGUGCCGUAACUUCGGGAGAAGGCACGCUGACACGUAGGUGAAGUGAUUUACUCACGGAGCUGAAGUCAGUCGAAGAUACCAGCUGGCUGCAACUGUUUAUUAAAAACACAGCACUGUGCAAACACGAAAGUGGACGUAUACGGUGUGACGCCUGCCCGGUGCCGGAAGGUUAAUUGAUGGGGUCAGCGCAAGCGAAGCUCCUGAUCGAAGCCCCGGUAAACGGCGGCCGUAACUAUAACGGUCCUAAGGUAGCGAAAUUCCUUGUCGGGUAAGUUCCGACCUGCACGAAUGGCGUAAUGAUGGCCAGGCUGUCUCCACCCGAGACUCAGUGAAAUUGAACUCGCUGUGAAGAUGCAGUGUACCCGCGGCAAGACGGAAAGACCCCGUGAACCUUUACUAUAGCUUGACACUGAACAUUGAGCCUUGAUGUGUAGGAUAGGUGGGAGGCUUUGAAGUGUGGACGCCAGUCUGCAUGGAGCCGACCUUGAAAUACCACCCUUUAAUGUUUGAUGUUCUAACGUGGACCCGUUACCCGGGUUGCGGACAGUGUCUGGUGGGUAGUUUGACUGGGGCGGUCUCCUCCUAAAGAGUAACGGAGGAGCACGAAGGUUGGCUAAUCCUGGUCGGACAUCAGGAGGUUAGUGCAAUGGCAUAAGCCAGCUUGACUGCGAGCGUGACGGCGCGAGCAGGUGCGAAAGCAGGUCAUAGUGAUCCGGUGGUUCUGAAUGGAAGGGCCAUCGCUCAACGGAUAAAAGGUACUCCGGGGAUAACAGGCUGAUACCGCCCAAGAGUUCAUAUCGACGGCGGUGUUUGGCACCUCGAUGUCGGCUCAUCACAUCCUGGGGCUGAAGUAGGUCCCAAGGGUAUGGCUGUUCGCCAUUUAAAGUGGUACGCGAGCUGGGUUUAGAACGUCGUGAGACAGUUCGGUCCCUAUCUGCCGUGGGCGCUGGAGAACUGAGGGGGGCUGCUCCUAGUACGAGAGGACCGGAGUGGACGCAUCACUGGUGUUCGGGUUGUCAUGCCAAUGGCACUGCCCGGUAGCUAAAUGCGGAAGAGAUAAGUGCUGAAAGCAUCUAAGCACGAAACUUGCCCCGAGAUGAGUUCU
rnacentral:rRNA from 2 species